rnacentral:rRNA from 1 species
UACAGAGGGUGCGAGCGUUGCUCGGAAUCACUGGGCGUAAAGCGCACGUAGGCGGAUCGUUAAGUCAGGGGUGAAAUCCUGGAGCUCAACUCCAGAACUGCCUUUGAUACUGGCGAUCUUGAGUUCGGGAGAGGUGAGUGGAACUGCGAGUGUAGAGGUGAAAUUCGUAGAUAUUCGCAAGAACACCAGUGGCGAAGGCGGCUCACUGGCCCGAUACUGACGCUGAGGUGCGAAAGCGUGGGGAGCAAACAGG